rnacentral:sRNA from 1 species
AAACAAGUACGGGAAAUAUGUUUCGAGUAAAUUGUAAGUUUCAUUACGUUUAGACAAAGGUCACAGUCUCGUGCUGAUGCUAUUUAGACCUUUAUCUUUCAAUAUUUUAAUAAUCGCUUAGGUUUUAUUAAAGUUUUAUAUAACGAUGUACCAAGUUCGAAUUUCCUCUAUUGUGAAUUGUUGAUCCUUUUAUUUCGGUAUAGAUAGAUUUGAAAUGUUUUUCUUUUGCGUUAACUAUUAUAAUUUUGUAAACAGUUAAUUUAGAUGUUAUUUUAUUAUGAUUGUUUAUAUCUCUAUUACGGUCACCAGAUUUUAGACUUAUUAUACGUAACUAUAAGAAACUUUUGUAACUGGUGACUGUUGGUUUAUAAGCACUUCCAUGCGACGCUUCUUCAAAUAAACUUGUAUAA